GACACAGCCUCAGUAUUACUCUCUGAAGCAGAGGAGAAGCUCUUAGAGACUCUGCCGAGCAGUCUGUGGACAACAGGUCCCACAGAUGUUGGGUUGAUAAAAACCAGCAAUCCCGUACAAAUCAAGCCGAGAACAGAAUGGAGGCUCAGAAUUAGGCAAUAUCCCCUAAAACCAGAUGCCAUUGAAGGUUUUAGACCAGUGAUAGCAGAUUUACUAAAAGUAGGGGGAACUCCGAGAAUGUCCUACACCAAUUUUCCCAGUCAGAAAAGCUAAUAGCACGGAAUGGAGAAUGGUGCAAGAUCAAAGAGCAGUAAAUGAUGCAAUACAAUCCAGGGCACCAUUAGUGCCAGAUCCUCAUACUCUUUUGAAUUCUCUAAAACCAGAGAAUAAAUAUUUCACUGUGAUAGAUCUUAGCAAUGCAUUCUUCUCCAUUCCUAUUCAUCCAGAUUCACAGUUUUGGUUCACCUUCACAUUUGAAGGUAAAGCCUAUACCUACACACGACUCCCGCAGGGAUUCUGUGAUAGCCCUACAAUUUUCUCUCAAGCCAUAACUAGCUGUUUAGCUGCAUUCAAAGCCCCACGGGGAAGUCAGAUACUUAUUUAUGUAGAUGACAUUUUGCUGGCCUCCCCCUCAAAAGAAGCAUGUGAGGAGGAUUCAGUGGCACUUCUUCAGUUCUUACAUAAAACAGGAAGCAAAGUAAAAAAGCAGAAGUUACAAUGGGUCAAGACAAAAUUUCAGUAUCUGGGGCACACUCUUAGUGAAAAGGGAAAGUCUGUCCAGAUAAAGAGGAAACAGGCCAUUCUACAAGCACCUAAACCUCAAGUAAAACAACAGAUGAUGGCUUUCUUGGGGUUGUGCAACUACUGGCAUGCAUGGAUUCCUUCUUAUGCUGAGAAGACACAGCCAUUAUUAGAUCUACAGUGUUAUUAAUGCCAGACUACAGUAAACCCUUUGUGCAAACCGUAGAUUGUAAAAACGGGUUUAUGACAUCUGUACUGCUACAGAAACAUGGAGGAAAGAUGAAACCUUUAGCUUUCUACUCAAAAAGAUUAGACCCAGUAGCGGCUUCACUUCCACCAUGUGUACAAUCUGUAUGUGCAGCUGCACUGGCUGUAGAAAGUUCUGCAGAUGUUGUAUUAUUCGACGAAACCACUCUGUUGGUUCCGCAUGCUGAAGAUAUGCUUUUAUUGCAGACAAAAAUGAAUUCUGUCCUGUACCGCGUUAUUGUCAUCUCAGCCACAUAUCACUGUAAAAAGAUGCACCACACUGAAUCCAGCCACACUCCUACCCACAGAAGACGAUGGGUACCCACAUGACUGUGUCUAGCAAGCUGAAGAGGUACACUUACCUAGACCAGACUUAAAAGACACAGCUUUAACAGAAGGAUUGACAUAUUAUGUGGACGGAUCCUGUUUUAAAACAUAUAAAGGACAGACAUGUACAGGAUAUGAAGUUGUAGAUGAUACAAGUGCCAUUGAAGCUAAAAAGUUACCAGGACAUUUCUCUGCACAAGCUACAGAACUCAUUGCACUCACCAGAGCUUGUAUAUUAGCAAAAGACAAAUCAUUAAGUGUGUAUACUGAUAGCCAAUAUGCUUUUUCAAG